CGGGGAGUGGAGCUGACAACCUGUCAAAUCCACUUUGGGACGAACUAGGUCACGCGCUUCCCGGGCCGUGCACCCCCGCCCGCGAGGGCCGGCCGCGGUUCCUUCCUCUUCCUGCCUGCGGCAGUGGGGGUGGGGCGGGCCUCGGGACACCUGCCUCCGUCGCCGGCCGCCGGCCUCGUGCGGCUUCCCGGGCGGCUCCGCCUCGGCCGUACACCCCCGGCCCGCUCGCGGCGGGUGGAGCCGUGGUCCCGCGGGCCCAGCCGCGCUCUCUCCCUGGACACUGGGAGCCCCGCGCGGCCUCGCGGGCAAAACCUCUGGACUCCCCGCACCCCCGACCGUCUCCGCGCCGCUCCUUCUCGCGCGCGACCGUGGACUCGUCCCCGCGGGCCCGGGUUGGCAGAAGCUGCGGGGGCCGGGGGCGCACUACUUGGCGCGGAAGGGCCAGCGGCGGGCGGAGGGAUCCCCGGCCGCGGGGCAGAGGAAAAGACGUCAAAGACUCAGAAGGCAGCGUGAAUCCAGGGCCCGGGAUGCAGGGUUUGCUGGAACGCCAGCCGGUGCGAUCGCGCCCCUGGGAUUCCGCUUGGCCCGCGCGUCCAUUUCCCUGCACGGUGGACUCAGUAAAGCCGGAUCUGUCCAGCGCUUACAGCGUGGAGGUGGAGGCGGACUAAUCAAGCAAUGCUCUGUUAUUAUUUCUACCCAUCCCCUUUUCUCCAUGCUAAUUUGCUUAGAACUUUAACAUCGAAUGGACAGCAAAUGUCAUGUUGUUUAAUUUUCACUCCUUGACCGUUAUGUUAAUUUCUCUCCCGAACAAGGUGACGCAUUGUUUUAAGUAACAAUGACCAACUCAUGUACUCUUUUUGCAAAUUGUAUGAAUUGAAGGGUAAAAUGUGGGAAAACGCUAAAUUUUAAUGCUAAAUUUGAACAUUUGACACAAUAUUUUGAAAUGCUUCUUUGCAAUAUUAUGGCAUUUCGGAACAGAUUAAAAUAUUUCAUUUUCAGAGAUUUCUUUGGUCAACAAAUACUUCUUGAACGUUUAUAUGCAAAGCAAUGCAUAUAACAUUUUCAUUGCUUUACAAGUGUAUUUAUCAGUAAAAGAAUUUUGUUUUAAAUUCUAGCCUUCAUUUAAAUGUAUUUUAGUUACCACAUUGGGAAGAAAAUAAAAUAUUAC
rnacentral:lncRNA from 1 species